rnacentral:lncRNA from 10 species
GUUCCAUUGGUCUAUGUACCUAUUUCUAUACCAGCACCAUGCUGUUUUGGUGACAAUGGCCUUAUAGUAUAGUUUGAAAUCGGGUAGUGUGAUGCCUCCAGAUUUGUUCUUUUUGCUAUGCGGGCUCUUUUUAGGUUCCAUAUGAAUUAUAGAAUUGCUUUUUGUAAUUCUGUGAAGAAUGAUGGUGGUAUUCUGAUGGAAAUUGUGUUGAAUUUGUAGAUUGCUUUUGGCAGUAUGGUCAUUUUCACAAUAUUGAUUCUACCCAUCCAUAAGCAUGGGAGGGCGAGACAAGACCGCUUGAAAAUUUGCCCAAGGCUAUCUGCCUCCCAGCUUUGAGAGAAAAGGGCUUUAAUUCUUCCCCCACCUGUGAAGUCUGCACUCUGGAUUUGUGUCCUCCCCCAAGUUCUGGCCAGGAGGCUUCUCACCCCAUUUAAAUUGUUACAAAGUUCAGCUGGAGAAUUCCUUCUCCCUGUGGAGUUUAACCACCUGCUCCUCUGGCCACCCUCCCAAUGGAUUCCUGUGGUACCAGGCAGGAAUGGGCUGCCUGGGGACCCAGCGAGCUCCCAGGGCUAUUCUGCUGCUUCCUCUACCCUUGUAUUUCGCUCCGCUCUCUAACUUGACUCAGCCCCAGAUCCUUUCCACAAUGUGAAUAUUUCCUGCGGUGGCUAGCCAAGAGUCUUCCGCCAGUCAAAAUGAAGCGCAAGAUGACCACGUUUUUUAGUACUUAAUGCACUCAUGAGGCCCCUGCAUGGUCCAGCGUAUUCCACCA